rnacentral:lncRNA from 1 species
UAAACUUUCAGAGGACUCUAUGCAUCUUGCUCAUGGCUUAAUCUUGGCUACCCUGGCCUUCCUCCUCACUCUUGCAGUCCUGCACUCAGAGGCUAAUGAAAGUGAGAGCGGCUACUCUCAUUGCUCUGAACAAAGAGAACUCAGGGGCUGGAGACUGAAGGUGGGGGUGGGCAGGGUCGGGGGCUGCAGUGAGGAGGUGUGUGUGGUCUGGAAAACAUGGUCUGGGGUUCCUGCCAAACAGACAGUGUCUUUCCCAAGGGUGUCUCCCCAUUUCUGGUCAGGGCUCACUUCUGCCUCUCCUGGGCUGGGGAAAACCUGCCUCUGAAAACAGCCUUCCUGGCCUUUGGUCCCAGCCUCGAGAAGCUGACCCAGAGCCCUCCGGGUGUCUGCUCAGCUGCGUCCAGGCAGGAGCAGAAUCUGGGCGAGAGGAAGCCACAAAGGAUCGCACUCUCUUCAUGGCUUAGACAGGGUCUGACCAUAUUUGGAUGGUUGCCAACAUUGAAAAACUGGAAACAUUAAAAACCCCUAUUGCCCCUUUCUUUCACAGAUAUGGAAGACCAAGCAGACACGAGCCCGAGUCUCCACAAGCUCACCUCCAACUGGGACUGAGGUGGGGGUGCUGCCCCCUUAGACAGGGGGCGCUGCCCAGGCCUCAGGGUGCCCACUGCCCGCCACACCCAGCUGCUGUCCGCGUGGUCUCGGGGCAUUUGAGCCUGAGUCACCCAGGUCCACUUCCCUCCUCUCCCCGCAAGACCUGUCCAGUGUGUUCACAGCCCAGAGCCGUGUGCUGAGCUCUCAGUAAAUACCUGUGCUACCGGAAGAGGAAGCAGCAGGUGACUGUGAAAGAGGCAGGGCCAAACCCCAGUGUCCUGACCCCCAGCUCACUGCCCUCAGCAGGCCUGCUUGCCUCUCUGCAGGGGGCUGGGGCCAGGGGAGAAGGUGGNNNNNNNNNNCUCUCCUGAAGCUUUGCUGUGAAGCUCCGCCUCCUGGGGCCAGAGGAGACUGUGGCCCUCGGAAAGCAUCUGUCGUCUCCUUGCAGGCGCUCAGGUCUUGAAAUAAAUCUGUGCUGCAGAAAGGGACUGGUGGCUUAAAUUGGUUCUCUCCAUGAGAGCCUGGUCAUUUCUUUGAUUUUAUAGACACAUCUAUGGUAUUUACUGCAUAUCCGGGGCCUUGUAAACAUUUCAGUAGGAGUAGACAUAAAUAGUGGAAUGAUGGGGGUGUAGUUAGAAUCAGGGGGAUGAACAGUGACCCCAGUUCAGGGUCCUUAGAUAAGAGGACCAGUGUAAAUACAGACGACCAUGGGGAGACCCUCUGUUUGCAUGUGCAGAGCUGAGGUGCACUCCAAACACACCUCCUCACUCCCUCGUCCAAGUGGGCGGUGCGGCUCACCCUUGCUAGAAAGCUCUGCCCAGGUCUCUGCCAUUCAAAGCAUUUACUUCUCUGUCCACC